UGGGGAAUCUUGGACAAUGGGCGCAAGCCUGAUCCAGCCAUGCCGCGUGGAUGAUGAAGGCCUUAGGGUUGUAAAACUCUUUCGUCGGGGACGAUAAUGACGGUACCCGAAGAAGAAGCUCCGGCUAACUUCGUGCCAGCAGCCGCGGUAAUACGAAGGGAGCUAGCGUUGUUCGGAAUCACUGGGCGUAAAGCGCACGUAGGCGGAUAGUUAAGUCAGGGGUGAAAUCCUGGGGCUCAACCCCAGAACUGCCUUUGAUACUGGCUGUCUCGAGGUCGAGAGAGGUUGGUGGAAUUCCUAGUGUAGAGGUGAAAUUCGUAGAUAUUAGGAAGAACACCAGUGGCGAAGGCGGCCAACUGGCUCGAUACUGACGCUGAGGUGCGAAAGCGUGGGGAGCAAACAGGAUUAGAUACCCGAGUAGUCCCUGAGCGGGCUGGCAAGGCGCAU
rnacentral:rRNA from 1 species